rnacentral:rRNA from 1 species
UACGUAGGUGGCGAGCGUUGUCCGGAAUUACUGGGUGUAAAGGGAGCGUAGGCGGGUAAACAAGUUGAAUGUCAAAACUAUCGGCUCAACCGAUAGUCGCGUUCAAAACUGUAUAUCUUGAGUGAAGUAGAGGCAAGCGGAAUUCCUAGUGUAGCGGUGAAAUGCGUAGAUAUUAGGAGGAACACCAGUGGCGAAGGCGGCUUGCUGGGCUUUAACUGACGCUGAAGUUCGAAAGUGUGGGGAGC